rnacentral:rRNA from 1 species
GACGAACGCUGGCGGCGUGCUUAACACAUGCAAGUCGAACGGAGUGGCGAACGGGUGAGUAACACGUGGGUGAUCUGCCUUGCACUUCGGGAAAAGCUUGGGAAAGUUGGUCUAAUCCCGGUUAGUGCAAGAUGAGCUCGGGGCCUAUCAGCUUGUUGGUGGGGUAAGGGCCUACCAAGGCGUCGACGGGUAGCCGGCCUGAGAGGGUGAACGGCCACAUUGGGCCUGAGAUACGGCCCAGAGGGCUACGUGAGGCAGCAGGGGGGAAUAUGGCACAAUGGGCGGAAGCCUGAUGCAGCGACGCCGCGUGGGUGAUGAAGGCCUUCGGGUUGUAAACUCCGUUCGACAGGGACGCGGUACCUGUAUAAGAAGCACCGGCUAACUACGUGCCAGCAGCCGCGGUAAUAC